rnacentral:rRNA from 1 species
UUCGGAAUGAAACCUGAUAUGACUUAGUGGCGGACGGGUGAGUAACACGUGAGCAACCUGCCUUUCAGAGGGGGAUAACGGCUGGAAACGGUCGCUAAUACCGCAUGACGUGUUCGGAUGGCAUCAUCUGAACAUCAAAGAUUUAUCGCUGAAAGAUGGGCUCGCGUCUGAUUAGAUAGUUGGUGGGGUAACGGCCCACCGUGCCUACUACGGGUAGCCGGACUGAGAGGUUGAACGGCCACAUUGGGACUGAGACACGGCCCAGACUCC